GAUGAACGCUGGCGGCGUGCUUAACACAUGCAAGUCGAGCGAUGAAGUUUCCUUCGGGAAACGGAUUAGCGGCGGACGGGUGAGUAACACGUGGGUAACCUGCCUCAUAGAGUGGAAUAGCCUUCCAAAAGGAAGAUUAAUACCGCAUAACGUUGAAAGAUGGCAUCAUCAUUCAACCAAAGGAGCAAUCCGCUAUGAGAUGGACCCGCGGCGCAUUAGCUAGUUGGUGGGGUAACGGCCUACCAAGGCGACGAUGCGUAGCCGACCUGAGAGGGUGAUCGGCCACAUUGGGACUGAGACACGGCCCAGACUCCUACGGGAGGCAGCAAUGGGGAAUAUUGCACAAUGGGGGAAACCCUGAUGCAGCAACGCCGCGUGAGUGAUGAAGGUUUUCGGAUCGUAAAACUCUGUCUUUGGGGAAGAUAAUGACGGUACCCAAGGWU
rnacentral:rRNA from 1 species